rnacentral:lncRNA from 1 species
AGUCCCUGCUGGAGUCAGAAGUUUUAGGCGAAUCCCAGGCGCGCCAAGGAAAGUGCUACAAAAGCCAUCCAUCUUGCAAGCGUUGGUGCCGAGGCGCAACGCUGAGAACGCAAAUACUAAAGGGCGCUGUUCUUUCCUCGUGGAGCUCACAGUCCGCUGGGGAGACCGUGAGAUGACAGCAGAGAAACUAGCGCGAUCAGUAGUACUCAGCGCAAGGACAGCGAGCAGAGAAGGCAAACCUAGUGCUUGCUAAGGAAGACUUCACAGAGGAGGUAGUGUCAGGGCCGAGACUAGGAGAAGGAUUGGUCCCACCCCUAUCGAGGCAGUCACACCUUAAAAAAAAAAGGAGGGGUUAUUCCUGCUUUUGCCGUGCUGUGAUCCAGGGCAGAGGUUCUCGUCAACCAGUAAAACAUCCAGUAACACAGCCAAUGGAAAUAAAUGAAUGGGUCUCUGUUUAUAGUGAAGAUUCUUUCGUUCUCCAGCUCCAGGCUUCAUACGGUAAAACUCUCUGGGAAGGAAAGGAACUCAGAGUCCCAUGCAGAAAAUUGUUCAGCUGGAGGGGUAUCAGAAAGAUGGAUUUCCAAAGCCAACUGUUUCCUGUAGUGUGUGGAUCUCUGCAAGCAGAGCCUCAUCUUUCAAUUUCAGCUACAUGAAAGAGGAAGAAAGGGAAAGAUAUAUGUCAUACGUGAUAUACUUUAUGUGGCUUUGAAGACCCCUCUUUUGUGGGGCUACGGCUAAAGAACAUAGUUCCCUGGGAUGGAAUUGGCUCUUCCUAUUUCCCUACUUCAUGAAAACUCCAGUAGAAGACCUUAGAACCUUGUCCUGGUUACAUGGAUAUGUUUACUUUGUGAAAAUUCAUCAAGCACUAUGCACGGUCAUGAUUUGUACAUUUUUUUGUAAGAUAACUUCAUUAAAAUUUACUUUUUUUAUUUUUAAAAAG